rnacentral:tRNA from 1 species
GCGCCCGUAGCUGAACGGGAUUAGCACCAGUUUACGAAGCUGGUUCAUGGGGGUUCGAGUCCCUCCGGGCGCACCA